UGCAAAAAAAAAAAAUAUGUCAGCAACCCCAAUCAGAAACAACUUUCAGGACCUUUGGACGCCCAUUUAAUGCCUGCAGAUCCCCUAGGGGAGACUCCACAACUGACAGUGGCACUGGUGAGGAAACCAGAAGCGAAACAUCCUAAGGCCCCAGCUCAAAGGAGAGGCCACACAGAAGAUCUUGGGCUCACAAAAGGAACAGCCGCCUUCUGCCAAUGGAUGGUGCCCUGGAGGAGAACACGGGAAGCAGCAGCAAAUAAUGUCAGUGGGAAGGAAGCAAAGGAAGCUGUGGAAGUUCCCAGGCUUGUAGGGACUCUCUCAAACACCUCAGGACUUGCCUGGAUGCAGCUCCCCAAAGCUUCUUAAAACAAUUGUGUCUGAGGAGGUGUGAACCAAUAGGAAGGAGCAGGAUGAAAAAGUAAAAAGAGAUGGUGUUUGAAGCAAAUUUCUUCCAUCCUGCUGUAAGUCUGGAGCAACCUCUAAGCUACUGAGUCACUGAGUUUUAUAUUAAACACUUUCUUUUGUAA